AAGAUAUGAUUUGGUUAAAAAUAAUUUGUUACAAAAAGAUUCUGUUUGCAAAUUAAACUGUAAAAGUAUUCAAAGUCUCAAAGGGCAAUGAUUUGUGUGAUAACUUAGUGUGUCCAGAGCCCUGUUCAUCAGUGAAAAUCCUGUAGAUGAUUGAAUCCAUAACAUGAACCCUGACGUUGGUUAUAUGUGAGCAUUUUCUUAUAUUCUUAACCCCAGAUGUUUGAUUUCUGGGUAUCAUCCUUAGUAAAGCCAUGGAGAGCAAACUUGAGUUUGAGAACUACAUGUGGCAGAGGUAGGAAGAAGGAAGCUGAGUCUUUUUCUGGAAACUUCUAGGUUCAUUUGUAUCUUUCCAGGUAGAACAGGUUGAUAACUCCUCACACAAACGUUCUACCCCAGGAUACAGCUAGACUGUUAUAAGAGUUCCCACAAGGACUGAAUCAAGGAAAUGUCUUGUCACUAAACCAUACGAUUGUUGAGUGUUUUGGGUGAGCGUGUUCUAACAGGAUCUCUGUACGACUCCAUUUUCCUUUGUGAAGGUGAAGGACAGUCAUUCGCGGUCUGCCAUUCAGUUGUCUGGGCCUGGCCUCAUUCUACUAUAGUCAAGCACCUAGUAACUCACCCUAGUUGCCAUUUUCUUAAAUUGCCAUGAGCCAAAUACUUCAAUUGAUUAAUCCAUUUAUUUUAACGGCUGCCUUCGUUGCUUUUCUUUUUGCUAUCCAUUUAUAGUUAGUAGUGGAAGAUGUAGCCACCUUUUUUGGGAAAGGCUAAAAGUGAACAUUUUGAAAGUUUUUUUUUUUAAUUGGUAAAAAAAAAAUAGUAAGAGAAUAAUGCCACCAGAGACUUUAGUGGACAUUGCCCAUUUUGAAGGUGCCAUUCUUAGAAGCCAAGAAUUUGGUAUUUAAAGUUUAUCUUGAGAGAAUAACCUGUAAUAUAAUUUGAAAUAAAGGUAUAGUAACCUUAAGAGCACUGUAGCAAAAACAUUGGUGGGUGGGGUGAAUUUGUAAAAUGAAUGACUUUGAUAAAGUUUUAUGCACAGGCAAAUGUAUUCAUUAGAUUCUGUGUAGUGAUCUGCUUUCCCUUUGUAAUUUGUAGUCCUAAAAAGAUUUUUUUUUUUUAAAAUAAAGUCCAUCCUUGCAUUUAGGUUUUAUAGAUCAGUCUUUUUAUUCCCACCCCUCCCCCAGUCGCAUUGAUCCCUAAUGGUGUGCUGUAUGUCCUGCUUUCAGAUGUCAACUGUGUAUAAACAUUAGUAACAAUUUGUCCAUAGAACUUGCAGACUAAACACCUCACAGAUUCCAAUGUAGCUAAAACUACAUUGCCAUUUCUACAACCAGAUCCUUGCAUGUUAACCGUCGUUCAAAACGCACCGUUUAUUAUAUACUGUGUAUAGUGAAAGAGUGUGUAGUCUUCCAGAACUACAUUAUGAUCUUUGAUCAUUGAUCUUUCCCCCCCCCUUUAUACACAGUAGUGUUUAAUUAGUAUAGUAGCACACGAGUAAGGCACCUGUGAGUACAAUGUAAAGAAAGGGAUUUAUGAAAUUAUUCUCAUUUUAAGUUUAAAUGCCAACCUAUCGCCUCCAAUAUGUAAUUCUUAAUGGAGAUGUUAAAACUGUACUCUGAAUCAUGAUUGGAUAACUGUUGAUUGAAUUCCUAACUUGGUGUCAGUUUCUAAGGCCUUUAGUGUCUUGGAUAUUCUACUGUGUGUUUAGAACUGUUAAGUGUCACCUUAUUCUGGGAUUAUUGUCCUAGAAAUAUUCUGUUCUUAUAAAAUUUUCAGAUACCAAAAUGCCACAUACUUUACUCAGCAUAAUGAUUGAUGGUGAGGGGAAAUGCAUGUGACCAAGUAAUUAACUUAUAACAGUGUUCAAGCUUUUUCCAUUAUCCAAACCCCCCAGAAACCUUUUCCCCUAAUAGCACCCCAAUAAAUUUUAAUAUAGAUAUACU
rnacentral:lncRNA from 1 species